ACAUGAAAGUAAAAUUUACAUUUAAUUUCGACUUAAAAAAUGAGUUUAUAGCUCUCAUGUU
rnacentral:tRNA from 1 species